AAUGGAAUGCCUGAAUAAAGGAUUAUUGUGAUAGAAUAAAUAAUGCAAAAUAUUUUGCUUCCAUUA
rnacentral:tRNA from 1 species